rnacentral:hammerhead_ribozyme from 1 species
AUCCAGCUGACGUGUCUCAAACAAGACGAAAUGUGCGUUCUGGAU